CCUACGUGUGGCAGCAGUGAGGAAUAUUGGUCAAUGGGCGGGAGCCUGAACCAGCCAAGUCGCGUGAGGGAAGAAGGUCCUAUGGAUUGUAAAAAGGGGGAGGAGGGGAGAAAUGCCGGGCACGCGUGCCCGGAGGGAGAGUACCCGCAGAAUAAGCAUCGGCUAACUCCGUGCCAGCAGCCGCGGUAAUACGGAAGAUGCGAGCGUUAUCCGGAUUUAUUGGGUUUAAAGGGUGCGUAGGCGGAUUUUUAAGUCAGCGGUAAAAUGUCCGGGCUCAACCCGGGCCGGCCGUUGAAACUGGGGAUCUUGAGUGGGCGAGAAGUAUGCGGAAUGCGUGGUGUAGCGGUGAAAUGCAUAGAUAUCACGCAGAACUCCGAUUGCGAAGGCAGCAUACCGGCGCCCGACUGACGCUGAGGCACGAAAGCGUGGGGAUCUAACCGGCUUAGAUCCCCUAGUCGUC
rnacentral:rRNA from 1 species